GAUGAACGCUGGCGGCGUGCCUAAUACAUGCAAGUCGAGCGAACAGACGAGGAGCUUGCUCCUCUGACGUUAGCGGCGGACGGGUGAGUAACACGUGGAUAACCUACCUAUAAGACUGGGAUAACUUCGGGAAACCGGAGCUAAUACCGGAUAAUAUAUUGAACCGCAUGGUUCAAUAGUGAAAGACGGUUUUGCUGUCACUUAUAGAUGGAUCCGCGCCGCAUUAGCUAGUUGGUAAGGUAACGGCUUACCAAGGCAACGAUGCGUAGCCGACCUGAGAGGGUGAUCGGCCACACUGGAACUGAGACACGGUCCUGACUCCUACGGGAGGCAGCAGCAGGGAAUCUUCCGCAAUGGGCGAAAGCCUGACGGAGCAACGCCGCGUGAGUGAUGAAGGUCUUCGGAUCGUAAAACUCUGUUAUUAGGGAAGAACAAAUGUGUAAGUAACUAUGCACGUCUUGACGGUACCUAAUCAGAAAGCCACGGCUAACUACGUG
rnacentral:rRNA from 1 species